UCGGGAAUUUUGGGCAAUGGGCGAAAGCCUGACCCAGCAACGCCGCGUGAAGGAUGAAAUUUUUCGGAAUGUAAACUUCGCAAGAAUGGGAAGAAUAAGUUCAGGAUAAUACCCUGAAUGAUGACGGUACCAUUUGUAAGCUCCGGCUAACUCCGUGCCAGCAGCCGCGGUAAUACGGGGGGAGCAAGCGUUGUUCGGAUUUACUGGGCGUAAAGGGCGCGUAGGCGGCGUGGUAAGUCACUUGUGAAAUCUCCGGGCUUAACUCGGAACGGUCAAGUGAUACUGCUGUGCUAGAGUGCGGAAGGGGCAACUGGAAUUCUCGGUGUAGCGGUGAAAUGCGUAGAUAUCGAGAGGAACACCUGCGGCGAAGGCGGGUUGCUGGGCCGACACUGACGCUGAAGCGCGAAAGCUAGGGGAGCGAACGGGAUUAGAUACCCCUGUAGUCC
rnacentral:rRNA from 1 species